AUUGAACGCUGGCGGCAGGCCUAACACAUGCAAGUCGAGCGGAUGAAGGGAGCUUGCUCCUGGAUUCAGCGGCGGACGGGUGAGUAAUGCCUAGGAAUCUGCCUGGUAGUGGGGGAUAACGUCCGGAAACGGGCGCUAAUACCGCAUACGUCCUGAGGGAGAAAGUGGGGGAUCUUCGGACCUCACGCUAUCAGAUGAGCCUAGGUCGGAUUAGCUAGUUGGUGGGGUAAAGGCCUACCAAGGCGACGAUCCGUAACUGGUCCGAGAGGAUGAUCAGUCACACUGGAACUGAGACACGGUCCAGACUCCUACGGGAGGCAGCAGUGGGGAAUAUUGGACAAUGGGCGAAAGCCUGAUCCAGCCAUGCCGCGUGUGUGAAGAAGGUCUUCGGAUUGUAAAGCACUUUAAGUUGGGAGGAAGGGCAGUAAGUUAACACCUUGCUGUUUUGACGUUACCAACAGAAUAAGCACCGGCUAACUUCGUG
rnacentral:rRNA from 1 species